rnacentral:rRNA from 1 species
AGAGUUUGAUCCUGGCUCAGGAUGAACGCUGGCGGCGUGCCUAACACAUGCAAGUCGAACGGAGAUUUGACGCUGAUGAGGCUUCGGCGGAUUCUUGUUAAAUCUUAGUGGCGGACGGGUGAGUAACGCGUGGGCAACCUGCCUCGUACUGGGGGAUAACAGUUGGAAACGACUGUUAAUACCGCAUAAGCGCACGGUAUCGCAUGAUACAGUGUGAAAAACUCCGGUGGUACGAGAUGGGCCCGCGUCAGAUUAGCCAGUUGGCGGGGUAACGGCCCACCAAAGCGACGAUCUGUAGCCGGACUGAGAGGUCGGACGGCCACAUUGGGACUGAGACACGGCCCAAACUCCUACGGGAGGCAGCAGUGGGGGAUAUUGCACAAUGGGCGAAAGCCUGAUGCAGCGACGCCGCGUGAGUGAAGAAGUAUUUCGGUAUGUAAAGCUCUAUCAGCAGGGAAGAAAGACUCGUAAGAGAGAUGACGGUACCUGACUAAGAAGCCCCGGCUAACUACGUGCCAGCAGCCGCGGUAAUACGUAGGGGGCAAGCGUUAUCCGGAUUUACUGGGUGUAAAGGGAGCGCAGACGGUGAUGCAAGUCUGAAGUGAAACCCCACGGCUCAACUGUGGGCUUGCUUUGGAAACUGUAUGACUAGAGUACUGGAGAGGUAAGCGGAAUUCCUAGUGUAGCGGUGAAAUGCGUAGAUAUUAGGAGGAACAUCGGUGGCGAAGGCGGCUUACUGGACAGCAACUGACGUUGAGGCUCGAAAGCGUGGGGAGCAAACAGGAUUAGAUACCCUGGUAGUCCGCACGGUAAACGAUGGAUGCCCGCUGUUGGCGAUAUACAGUCAGCGGCCAAGCGAAAGCGUUAAGCAUCCCACCUGGGGAGUACGCCGGCAACGGUGAAACUCAAAGGAAUUGACGGGGGCCCGCACAAGCGGAGGAACAUGUGGUUUAAUUCGAUGAUACGCGAGGAACCUUACCCGGGCUUGAACUGCAGGUGAACGAUACAGAGAUGUUGAGGCCCUUCGGGGCACCUGUGGAGGUGCUGCAUGGUUGUCGUCAGCUCGUGCCGUGAGGUGUCGGCUUAAGUGCCAUAACGAGCGCAACCCCUGUCCUUAGUUGCCAUCAGGUGAUGCUGGGCACUCUGGGGAUACUGCCACCGUAAGGUGUGAGGAAGGUGGGGAUGACGUCAAAUCAGCACGGCCCUUACGUCCGGGGCUACACACGUGUUACAAUGGGUGGUACAGAGAGCAAGUUCCCAGCAAUGUGGACUGAAUCCUAAAAGCCAUCCUCAGUUCGGAUUGGGGUCUGCAACCCGACCCCAUGAAGCUGGAUUCGCUAGUAAUCGCGCAUCAGCCAUGGCGCGGUGAAUACGUUCCCGGGCCUUGUACACACCGCCCGUCAAGCCAUGAAAGCCGGGGGCGCCUGAAGUCCGUGACCGCGAGGGUCGGCCUAGGGUGAAACCGGUGAUUGGGGCUAAGUCGUAACAAGGUAGCCGUAUCGGAAGGUGCGGCUGGAUCACCUCCUU